GGGGAAGUAUUAGCCUCGGGUAUGGGUUUAUGCCCAAGUCUCUAACCCUAAAUUACCUUUUGCAACUCUUCUCGCUUUCUCUUUCAAGAUUCAUCUUCUUCCACCUUUCCAUCAAAAAAUUGACGAUUUUUACUUAAAAUUUCGGAUUUUCGCCAUCAAUUUACCUUCUUCCAAUUUGAGGAACAUAGAAGGAGAUUGCGUGACAUAUUCUGCGGCAAAUUGAACUUCUUCGACGAGAUCGGAAACUCGGAUCUUCGAUAAAUUCAAAGAGAGUAUUGCUGGAAGAUAUACUAUGGCCAGUUUGGCUUCCGGAGAUUCCUCGCAGGUCGGAGCUCCGGAAGUGGGGUCACUCAGAAUGUCUCAAGAGAAGCCUGAGGAUGGUGGUCGAUGGUACUUUUUUAGGAAGGAAAUUGAAGAGAAUUCGCCAUCUAGACGUGAUGGUAUUGACCUGAAGAAGGAAACAUACUUGCGCAAGUCGUACUGCACCUUUCUACAAGAUUUGGGAAUGAGACUGAAAGUGCCUCAGGUAACAAUUGCUACUGCAAUUAUUUUUUGCCACCGGUUUUAUCUCCGGCAGUCCCAUGCCAAGAAUGACAGAAGGACUAUAGCCACAGCUUGCAUGUUUCUUGCUGGGAAAGUGGAGGAAACCCCACGUCCAUUGAAAGAUGUCAUCCUUGUUUCCUAUGAAAUAAUUCACAAGAAGGAUCCUGCCGCAGUUCAGAAGAUUAAGCAAAAAGAUGUGUAUGAACAACAAAAAGAGCUAAUUUUACUUGGGGAAAGGGUUGUACUGGCAACUCUUGGUUUUGAUCUGAAUGUGCAACAUCCAUAUAAACCUCUCGUUGAGGCAAUAAAGAAAUUCAAGGUCGCACAGAAUGCCCUUGCCCAGGUUGCAUGGAAUUUUGUCAAUGAUGGGCUGCGGACAUCUCUUUGCUUGCAAUUUAAGCCCCAUCACAUAGCAGCAGGUGCCAUCUUUCUUGCUGCCAAGUUCCUCAAAGUCAAACUUCCUUCAGAUGGCGAGAAGGUCUGGUGGCAAGAGUUUGAUGUCACCCCACGUCAAUUGGAGGAGGUUAGCAAUCAAAUGUUGGAACUGUAUGAACAGAACAGAGCACCACCAAACCAAGGUAGUGAAGCUGAAGGCAGUGUAGCAGGAGGGGCUGCUAAUCGACCAACAUCAAGAACUUCAACUGAGGAGCCAGUACUGAAUAGUAAUUCUUCUCAAGCCGGAGCGGCAAAGCCCGGAUCCUUGAAACCACCAAGUGCUCAUCAGUUGCCUGAUCUUUCAAACAAACACGCUGGACCCCCUAGAGGCUCUCAUAAUCGGAGUAACGAUUAUGGGAAUUCAGAUCACAAGGGGCAUGGAGAACCUAGAACUACGGAGCCCUCGGUUUAUGAGGAGAAUUUGGGGGAUGGGCAAAUUAUGAGGACUGGCCCAGAUUGGAAUAGUAGUGAUGAUAGUAAAGAAAAGAACGUUGGGGGAAUCAGAGUAAAAGAAGGGGGGGAUUUGAAAGAUAAAUACCAUAGCAAUAAUGUAGAAUCUAAAGAAGCUGGGCCAACCCAAUCACCAGCUGAAACGUUGGAGAAGAUAGAUACAAACAAGUUGAAGGAAUUAUGUGAAAAGAGAAGGAAGUCUAGAGCGGAUCCAAUUAGGAAGAAAGACUCAAUGGAUGAGUAUGAUCCUAUUGUGAAGGAGCUGGAAGAGGGUGUUGAGUUAGCUGCUGCUGAGAGUGAGAAAAUAAAGCAAGAAAAAAAGCAGAACUGGCCUCAACCCUCUACUCGGCUAGAUAAUGAUAGGUCACAUAAUAGCAAGCAUCUUGAGAUGUCUGGAGACCGACCACAUGUGGGCUUAAAGGGACAGCAAUCACAUGGACUUGAUAUUGAGAAUGUGGAAGAAGGUGAAGUGUCCGCAUUAGAUGAUUCUAACUGGGAUUAUCAAUCACCCAAGUCAAAUGAUCGGAAGAGAAAGGCUGGGAGUCCACCGGACAAAAUAAGUGAUGGAAAAAGAUGGCGUGAUAUGCCAGGGGAAUUUCCUGAAGAUAGUAGCCGGAUAGGCCGCCUUGCUUAUCCUGAUAGAGAUCACAAAAGGCCUGUACCGGAAAAUCAUGCCUGAAGCUUGUUUAUCUUUUCCAUGAAGCAUAAAUUGGGCUAUUAGCUACCUACAUAUUGUUUGUAGUAGAGCAUAAUGCAGCUGCUUGAUUAAAAUUAUAGUUACACUUACCUGAAGAUCGGUGAAGCAGUACAUUGAGCUGUUUCCUUGGCAACGAGGACUGCGCACAUGAGCUAAAUUUGAUUUCUUUCUGUUGAUGUUGCAUGUAACUUACUCCUGCAGAAUUAACCAGUAAGCAGGUUUCCUGGCAUUGUUUGAUACAAUGCUGGACAGAAUUUCAGUUGUUCAUGGGAAUGAAAUUUUGUACUUAAAAGCUGUUGUGUGAUUUAAUUAUUUAAGCUAUAUUUUUAUGGGACUAAUGGUAUUCUCAUUAUUCCCAAUUGAUAUAGGCCAAGUCUUUGGUA